rnacentral:lncRNA from 1 species
AUUCAAGAGAAUUUACAUUGACAAGAAGCAGUAGGCAUCACCUUUAAUUUAUACAUCAGUUGGUUGUCUACUGAAAUACUUUUCUACAACUUUUAGCACAUUGAGACAAGAAUUAAUAUUCCAAUUUGAUAGAGGGAGAAACUGAAAAGGGAUAUGGGCAGAUCACCUGAUGGGCCUCUGGUAGUGAAGCUGGUGAGUGUCCGCAUCGGUUAAGACUCUUUCAGUUGCUGGGGCAGAAAACCCGAUUCAAACUAAAUAAGAAGGGGAGUGGCUGCUCAUGUAAGCUAAAAUGUUCAGGGGUAGAUCUAGCUUUAGCUGAGUCCUGUUUCAGGGUCCAAAUGAUGUCACAAGGCUCCACUAUUUUGCACUGGUUCCUCUGGGUGGAACACAUUAAUGGGUUCUGCCUGGUGACUUCAGUGGCUUCAGGUUAUCAUCGCUGUAGCAUCUGUUCCAGCAGAAGACAUCAUUCGCUUCCCUGAGCAUGGCGACACAAGUCAGAGAACUGAGCUUUGGUGACAGAAGGUGGAGAAGCAUGCAUAUUAUUCCACUGAAAAUACCCUCUGGACCUACGAGAAAGGACUAACCUAAAGUCAAGCACAGAGAAGAGAUAGAUAUCAUCAAAUUAAAAAGUACAAUACAAUUGUGUGCUCUUUUUCCCCAAUAAAAAAUAAAGAAGUGGGGGCUACAACCUCAAAGUGAACAAACAGAGAGAAAGCAGAGAUCCUAAUAUCUGAUGACUUUGAAAGAUCUUUGAAGAGGAACCCAUCUCAGAAUUCAAGAGAGAUCUGAUUUUAAUUCCCAGCUCUACCAUCAAAAAGUCCAGUCUGCUCCCCAGUGUCUCUAAGUGUAGAGAGAGAAAUUCUUACCUUGGCUAUCAGCUAUCACCAAACUUACUAUAGUGAAGAAAUGAAGUUACAAUUAUGACAGGAAUAUCACAAUGCCAUGAGGAUGCAGGAUUUUAUGAUCUAUUCCAAGAAAUAAGAUGAUAAGGAAAGUUUGUAUGCAGUAGAAAGAAUAUGGGAUUUGGAGUCAAAGUUAUGUCCAAAUUCUGAGUUGACCCCUAAUGAACUGUGUUACCUUAUAAGUCAUUUAACACCUCAGCCUUAUUUUUCACAAUCUUACAAUAUCUACUUCAUGGAAUUAUUAUGAAAUAUCAGAUAAUACAUGUAAAGGGUCUACAAUUGUGUAAGGCCCAGAGUGGGUACUCAAUGAAGAUUAGGUAUUAUUGAAAAGUGUUAAAUAAAACAUAUGAGGCGAAGAAGGCAGAAUGCAGAACUAAUAUUAUGAUCUAGUUUGUGAGAACUUCAUCCUCCUAGCACCAUGAAUAGAUUACUUACCGUGGAGAGGAACAUAAACUUCAGGAUUAAGAGGUUGCAGUUCUUCUCAUUGAGGAGGCAGAGUUUAUUUCCCCACUCCUUGAAUCUUGACUGCUCUUGUGACUUAUUUUGGUCAAUGAUAUGCAGUAGAAAUGUCAGUUUCAGAAGAGACCUCAAGAGGCCAUGAGCUUCUUUUUCUCUUGGAUUCCUGCUAUCGCUAUAUGAACAAGUCCUAGCUAGCCUGCUGGAAUACGAGAGACAUCAUAGAAGAGCACCUAUUUGUCCCAGCCAAUGCCAUCCUCAACCAGACUACAGC